CUGGUAAAAAGCGAGACGGUGCUUGAUUAUUCGCUUUUUACAGUGUGGAAUACUCAAUCCUGAUUGGUCAAUCAUGCUGAGCAGCGGCGGCUCUAAUGAGUUACGAAUUACAUACGAUUCAAUUAAAAUGGAAAACCCCAUCUGGUGGAGCCGGCAGACGCACCACUGACCCCAGAACAGUGGAAAAUAUAACACAAGUGUUUGCUGGAGAGACGGACAGCAGGAGAGUGACUGUAAAAGAGCACAGACGCGUCUACAACAGCUCAUAAACAGCAGAUGCACACGUGUGAUGAAGCUCCGGGAGGCUUUAUUAUGACAUGCUGACCUGCUGCUGGAGAUUUACAUCUGGGUCAGCAGUGACAUGAUCUGCGUUCCAUUCGGAAGGGCUCAUCCCUAUGCCCUAAUCCCUGCUGAGGGAUGAAGGGUGUAGAGGUCAAAACACUUCUCUUUUAGUGCACUAGUUGAUGACUACUAAAAGUUUAAUGAUGAACACAGUGCAGGCUAACUCUUAU